AGUGGGGAAUAUUGGGCAAUGGAGGCAACUCUGACCCAGCAACGCUGCGUGAGGGAAGAAGGUUUUCGGAUUGUAAACCUCUGUCCUAGGGGACGAAGAAAGUGACGGUACCCUAGGAGGAAGCCCCGGCUAACUACGUGCCAGCAGCCGCGGUAAUACGUAGGGGGCGAGCGUUGUCCGGAAUUACUGGGCGUAAAGGGUGCGUAGGCGGUUUGGUAAGUUAGAUGUGAAAUCCCCGGGCUUAACUCGGGAGUUGCAUUUAAAACUGCUGAACUAGAGUGCAGGAGAGGAAAGCGGAAUUCCUAGUGUAGCGGUGAAAUGCGUAGAUAUUAGGAGGAACACCAGUGGCGAAGGCGGCUUUCUGGACUGUAACUGACGCUGAGGCACGAAAGCGUGGGGAGCGAACAGGAUUAGAUACCCUGGUAGUCCACGCCGUAAACGAUGGAUACUAGGUGUAGGGAUCUAAGAAGGUCUCUGUGCCGCAGCAAACGCAAUAAGUAUCCCGCCUGGGGAGUACGACCGCAAGGUUG
rnacentral:rRNA from 1 species